CCUUGCUGCUCUCCUCUGUCCCUUCGUCUUCCUUGCAGCCCCUGGCUCUGUCCACCAUUCCAACCAGUAGCAGAAAGCCCAGCAGUCAAUAGCUCCUGGCCUCUAGAUGCGAAGACAGCCAGCCUCAGCUGAAGUCUUUUGGUUCUGAUUCCAAAUUCUUUGCACAAAUCAGAGAUUGGCUCAGCCUGGGUCAGGUGAUCCCCACCUGGGGAGAGUCAAUAUGGCCAAUCCUGUAGGAAACCUGGGGCCGAUGAUGAUGGGGAGCAGCUUCCCGCAAGGGGACAACACCAGGCAAAGAGAACAACGGUCAUCUCUUGCCUGUUCUGGGUUCCUCCCCUCUGGUCAGACCCAGGACUCUCACCCCACCUCCAUCACAGAAGCAAAGCAGAUGGGCACUGCUCUCUUCCACGCUGGGCUGAUUUUAUUGCACCUGAGCUCUCACACCGGUCCUUCCAUCAUCUGGAACCCUCAGCAUGCCCUUGAGAAGCAGCCAGCCAGCCACUUUACAGAUGGGGAAACAGAGGCUUCCAGCAACCCAGCAUGUCCAGGGCAGAACUGGAGUUCCACACCAAGGCCUGUGCUGGUGACCACAAGCUCCUCUGGGCAUCGCAGUUUCUCCCGUGGAGGCACUGGGUAGGAGGGAGCCUCCAGAGCAACAGGAGAGCUGGGAGUGAGACGUGUCUGCCUGGCGAGAAGCUGGUCUAAAGGCAAGUCCAUGGAAGCAGCCAGGUUGAAGCAGUGAAAGCCUCAGGAGAGAAGGAGGAAGAUCCUGGAAGAUCUUGUGGCGGCAGAACCAGCCACGUGUUUCAUGUACACAGACCUCUGCAUAUGCUGUUCCUUCUAGUGGGAGUCCUUUCCUGUCAUCUGUCCUCUAUGUGGCAAACUUGGCCAGUUGUGACCUCCAGUGUCUAUUCCUCAAGCCUCCUUAGAAAUGGAACCCCCGAGUGUUAGCUAGCUGGGCAUAUGGCCACCCAAAAUAAAGAACAUGUUUCUCAGCCUCCCUUGCAGUUAGCUGGGCCAUGGGAUUGAGCCUUGACAAUGGCUUCUAAGUGCACUGUACAACUUCCAGGAGUGUCCUUAAAAACACGGCUGCUGGAGCUCUGGCAGCCACCUUGUACCAGGAGGCACGUGAAGGCUUGAGGACAAGCAUGUGGAACAAGAAAAUAGGAAGAACCUGGGUGCCUUUCACCAUGGAGAAACUUAUGAGCCCUGGGCCUCCCACCACCAGAUUUCAACUUGAGUCAGACACAAGCUUCUAUCAUGUUUAAGUCACUGUUAUUUUUGUGUUUGUUUUCAUUUAGGGCCAAGUGUAAACUUAAUCGAUACAGCCAGAAAACUCCUUUAAAACUUUUUAAAACCCAGCUCAAUUGUCACCUUCCUCAGGAAGACUUCCUAAAUCUAAGAUAAAAUAAACCCCUCCCAGAUAUGACCAUAUUCUUAUUUUUACUUUUAUCCUUCUGUAUUAUAACUUUCCUGUUUAGAUGUCAGCUAUACAUCUCCAGAACACUGAAAUAUCCAGCUCAGAGCCCUGCAACCUAGUAAUACUAAUAGUACUGAAACAAUAGAUGAUAUUUAUUGAGGGCUUACAAUGAGUCAAGCACUAUUUUCAGAGUUUAUAUAUAUUAUCUCAUUUAAUCCUCACAGGAACUCUAUGGGAUAGGCACGAGUAUUAACCUCACUAUAAAAUGAAGAUGAAAAAACCAAGGCACAGAGAGAAUAAGUAAAUUGCCCAAGGUCACACAGCUAGAAACUGGUAGAGAUUGGACUUAAAUCCAGGAGUCUGACUGCAGAGUUCAAGUUCUUAGCUUGUCAUUCUUAUCAUGGGAACUCUGUUAGCUUGUGAUAGGCAUGCCUUGAAGUGGGAUGUGGGGGAACCAUACAACUCCCCUCACCUUCAUUAAAAUGAGGAAAACAGGAGGAGCCCUCGCCAUCUGCCUGGGAACCAUGGCAACCAGGGCUCAGGGCUCUGGAGGGGGUUAGAGGUCCCAGGGACUUACGGAACCCAAGCAUCCACAAGGCCACCUGUUUCCGUUAUCUCUGCCAUGUAACAAACCAGCCCAGAACUUAGUGGCUUGAAAUAACUGCUUUACGAGUUCUAAGGGUCCGUAGGUCAGCUGGGGGUAUCUCCUGCUUCCUGUGGCGUCAGCCUGGUGAUUUCAGCUGGGAUCUCAGCCACGAGGCCUCCCUCUCAGGCCUGUGCUGGGGCACCUCAGCUCCGCUCCACGUGGCCUCUCUUCCCACAUGGCUCCUGACACUCUUGUCUGCUCAGGUUGCCAUGCAAGGCCGCUGGACUCCAAAACACAGAGAGGGGGCUUCCCUGGCUGUUCAGCGGUCAGGACUUCACCUUCCAAUGCAGCG
ensembl:lncRNA